ensembl:processed_transcript
ACAAGCCGGGUGGACAUCACUGAGGCUUGGAAAAGAUUUCCUCCGGGGAAAAUCCCUCCGGAGUCCUCCAGGCUGGUGUCAGUACAAGAGAGGCAAAGAAUGUUGCUCCUACAAAUGAACUCUCCUGACAGAAGUCCACAGAGGACAGAGGGAUGGGGAUGAUCCCCACACUAGUUCCUAACUUUAAAUAAAACCAAGCCUGCAGCGUAAUUUCCUGAGUCCUAAUGGAAGGAUUUGAUGAAGACAUCCCAUUUAGGAAUCUGCACUGUUCUCCCUGGGCCACAGCUAUGCCUGCUUCCCUGGAGGCCUGCUGCCAUCCAGGACAACGAGGUGGGAGCGAGCGUCAGCCAUGCUGUGGAAGGCAGAGUAAAGUGUCUUCCUGGGAGGAGCAAUGUCCAAAAUAUGGUCUUUCUACUGGUGAAAGGAGGGUAUUGGAAUCACCUACAGUUGAUUGCGGCCAGAAGAAAGACACCCAAGCAACUGCCGCAUGCCAGUCAGCCCUGUUGAAACUGGAAGAAAGAUACCCAAGUGCCCGGCCAUACUGACCCUGAAAGAAAGACAUACAAACACCUGCCUCUGGAAUCACUGUUAUUUGAAUGUGUGCUGGGGAUAUGGAAAAGGCAAGAGUACAUGGUGGAGAGAUGGAAGAGAAAAUGAAGCCAAGGUGUUUGUAUAUUGUAGAGAAAGGUAGAACUAGAGAUGGUAGUGAGGAACAGGGAGAUAUGAGGAGGCCAUAGUGAGUUCCUACCCUGGGAUGCCACUAAGGGCUAUGUUUGCAUCCAUGGUCCUGUUGCAGCUGGGGUCGUUGCUGAUGUCUUGGCCCGAGUUACCAUCAAAGACCAAGUGGAUGUCCCACGGUCUAGGUUGCCCCUGGAAAACGUGUGGAUAUCUGAGGGUCAUGCUGCUUAGGGAAGACUUGCUCAUCUUCGUGGCCUGCCCUGUCACAUGAGGCCAUAGGGACAUUUGGGCCCAGACUAGUUCAAUGGGCUAUGUCUUGGGCCUUGACUUCAUGGCAGCUGAGGUCUGUGUUGAUGUCCCAGUCUCAUGAAUUACCAAAGGCCAUGCAGAUAUCCCUAGUCUGGAAUGCUGCCUGAGUACUAUGCUGAGCUGGAGUGUGUGGGGUGAUUAGCCCCAAAGGUGUGACUGGGGGAGAGCUGGCCCGGGGCCCUGCCUCUUAUCUGCCCCACAACAGUGGCAGAGAUAGCCAGGGCAGUACCUCCCAGGGCACAGAAGAGCUGAUGGGCUAACUAGCUCAAUUACCUGCGCAGAUCUAGGGCAGUGAGUUGGCCCACUCCAACAUAGCUCUAUCCCAUCUAUGAACUGCUGGGGCAUGUGAAAGGGCUGGUUUUGCAGAUCCAAAGCAGCAGGAUCUCCAUGGCAUGGGGCUGAAACAGAAUAGUCAAGCCGUGUCCCGGUGAGGAUCCAGUAUAUAUAGUAUAGCAGAAGCCAGAGACCUUGAAACAGACCAUGACUUACUGCAAGGAACAUUUCCAAGUGAAAAUAUAUGGACAAAUGGGUGUACCAUGUGACACACUACAGCUUCCAGAGCAAGAUUUUCUUUUUUUAAAUUCUGUCUCCUUUUCUUUUCUUUUGUUGGGGGAGGUUGUAAGGGCAGAGGGCAGAGAACAGAUAUGAAGGGAUGGGGAGAUGAGUGAAAUUGGGGUAUGCGAUGUAAAACACACAAAAUAAUCAAUAAAAAUUAAAAAAACA